UACGGGGGGGGCAAGCGUUGUUCGGAAUUACUGGGCGUAAAGGGCGCGUAGGCGGCCUUCUAAGUCAGACGUGAAAUCCCUCGGCUCAACCGAGGAACUGCGCUUAAAACUGUGGGACUCGAGGGAGAUAGAGGAAAGCGGAACUGAUGGUGGAGCGGUGAAAUGCGUUGAUAUCAUCAGGAACACCGGUGGCGAAGGCGGCUUUCUGGGUCUUACCUGACGCUGAGGAACGAAAGCCAGGGGAGCGAACGGG
rnacentral:rRNA from 1 species